rnacentral:sRNA from 1 species
ACAUGCAGCAGAUCAAAGCGCUACAGCGACCUUUGCGCGUCUGAUAAGACGCGCGGCGCUGUAGGGA